rnacentral:rRNA from 1 species
AGGCCGAUGGCGACCGGCGCACGGGUGAGUAACACGUAUCCAACCUGCCGUCUACUCUUGGACAGCCUUCUGAAAGGAAGAUUAAUACAAGAUGGCAUCAUGAGUCCGCAUGUUCACAUGAUUAAAGGUAUUCCGGUAGACGAUGGGGAUGCGUUCCAUUAGAUAGUAGGCGGGGUAACGGCCCACCUAGUCUUCGAUGGAUAGGGGUUCUGAGAGGAAGGUCCCCCACAUUGGAACUGAGACACGGUCCAAACUCCUACGGGAGGCAGCAGUGAGGAAUAUUGGUCAAUGGGCGAGAGCCUGAACCAGCCAAGUAGCGUGAAGGAUGACUGCCCUAUGGGUUGUAAACUUCUUUUAUAAAGGAAUAAAGUCGGGUAUGGAUACUCGUUUGCAUGUACUUUAUGAAUAAGGAUCGGCUAACUCCGUGCCAGCAGCCGCGGUAAUACGGAGGAUCCGAGCGUUAUCCGGAUUUAUUGGGUUUAAAGGGAGCGUAGAUGGAUGUUUAAGUCAGUUGUGAAAGUUUGCGGCUCAACCGUAAAAUUGCAGUUGAUACUGGAUAUCUUGAGUGCAGUUGAGGCAGGCGGAAUUCGUGGUGUAGCGGUGAAAUGCUUAGAUAUCACGAAGAACUCCGAUUGCGAAGGCAGCCUGCUAAGCUGCAACUGACAUUGAGGCUCGAAAGUGUGGGUAUCAAACAGGAUUAGAUACCCUGGUAGUCCACACGGUAAACGAUGAAUACUCGCUGUUUGCGAUAUACUGCAAGCGGCCAAGCGAAAGCGUUA